GGUUGUAUGGAGUAGUUGGUUAACUUAGGAGAUUCUGAUCGAGCAGCGCUUCGGCGCAGCAGUGUCUGACCUUCUCUUGCCCUGGGUUCGAAUCCCAGUACGACCU